rnacentral:sRNA from 1 species
GAUGUAGGGCCAGCUGACUGGCACACCUGUCACCCUUAGUGAUCACCAAAGUUGAUCUGGCUGACAAGGCAGGUGACCCCCUCCAUCCCACCACUC